UGUGGGAACCUUGACCUUUUUACCCUGAACAUAAAUCAAAUAGAUAGAAUAAGCUUGAUAAGGGAAAGAAAAGCAAAAAUUAAAGAAAAUAUAUUUCUGAAAUAAAAAUAAUUCGUAUAUUCCAAAAAUCUUUGUAUUGUCCUUUUUUUUUUUAAAAAAAAAUUCCUAUUGUCUUUUUGCAGUUUGAAAGGACAAUAUCAAAAUUUUAUCAUCUCAAAACUUGGACUUCUAAUUUAUGACAUAGCGUUUGUCUUCCUCCUUUUCUUUUUUCUUUUUCAAAGCAAAACAAACCGAAACCACAUGCAAGAGCCUUCACUCAAAGCAUGCUUCCUCCACAAUGAAGCCAUGAAUCAUGAGCACAAGCAUGCCUCACCACUUUUUUCGUUUGCUUAUUUUAGAAUAAAAUGGCAAAUGGUUAAUACUGUGACAUAGUUACUGCAGGUACACUAAAUAAGACUUACUUGAAGAUUCUAGACUAUCAAACUUACUAAAAUACAAUAAAAAAGGAAAAUUAAUACACAGAAAAAGGCAAGCCUAAUCUAUUCACAACAACAUGAAGAAAAGUGUCCACACAAAAAUCACAAUAGUUGGUCCAGUAGCAUUAACAAUAACUCAGUAAGAUAAAUGAUCCAUACUGAAGCAAGAAAAACUUUGGCAG
rnacentral:misc_RNA from 1 species